rnacentral:lncRNA from 1 species
ACGAAUUGUUUAAUUCUUCUUAUCAAACAGAUUCAAAAUAUUGUGGAGCUGAAAGAAGAGCAGCACAGUGUAAAGGGAAAAAGGAUACACAACACGGAACAAGAAGAAGAUGACAGUCUCUCGGACUCCGGCUGCAGCUCCGAUCCGACUUGAAUUCUAGUGAUGAGAUAAUUACAAUUUUUUUCUUCAAAGUUUGCAUGUGCUGUAUCAUUGAAUUUUAAGUGCUUCCGUUCUUCUUUAUCAGUUAAUUAAUCAUAUAAUUUGGAACCGAGGGG